GCAGUGCAGUGUGCGCAGUGUCAGUCUGUGUCUGAUGGAGCAGAGUGUUGGCGUGCUGCUAGCGCUCUGCUCCGUUCACACAAAUCCUGCAGCCGGAGAUUGAACAUGAGAUCAUAGUACUGGUCUAGUGCCCGUCCUUUGGACGCUUUACCCCACUGGCCAGCCUCCAAACUCUCACACAUGU